CAGGGGUUUGAGACAAGCCUGACCAAGAUGGAGAAACCCAGUCUCUAUCAAAAAUACAAAAUUAGGCAGGUGUGGUGGCGCAUGCCUGUAAUCCCAGCUACUCGGGAAGCGGAGAAGAAUCGCUUGAACCCAGAAGGCAGAGGUUGUGGUGAGCUGAGAUCUCACCAUUGCACUCCAGCCUGGGCAACAAGAGCGAAACUCCGUCUCAAAAUAAUAAUAAUAAUAAUAAUAAUAAGUUUACAACCUCUGAAUAUGUACCAAAUGGAGCCAGGGCUGGGGAGUAUUAGGACAAGCCCCGCACUGCAGAACCCCCAGCUCUCACUCGUGGACCGAGUGCAUGGGACACAGCCAUUCGGAAAGGUCUUUCUUUUGGAGUGGGACUGGGUGUUCUGGUUUUAGUUUGCUUGUUUUAUCGUUUUGUGACAUUGGCGCCUAUUCUUCAGUUUGCAUCCUUGCCUUGCUUGCUUGAAGCUGGAGCACAAAUGUCCCGUCACCCUGUAACAACAUAAGCAUGCGCCAUCCCUGCGAGGCUUAGCUUGGGAAGUGGAGUCUCCAGGAAUCUCCUUCUGUGGUCUGUCUGCCACUUUACACUGUUGCUCUCAUUUCAGUCACUGAGGCCCUGUCCCUUAUCCUCUAGGGACAUGGUGCUGCCCUAUGAGCUCUGGCUCCUGUGUGACUUUUACAUUGCUCCUCCAGAUAGCAGUGGCAGUGGCAUUUGCAAAAAGGCUAUUUGAGAACAAAUAAGAAUAAAAUCAUCAAAAUGAAGAUGAUAGCAAAACAGCCCUCAUUUUUCAAAGUCCAUUCUUUUUUCUGGUCCAUGCACUGCCAGCUCACUUCUCUGGCUAAAACCCGGGGGCAGCGGGGGUGUGUGUUGGGGGGGGUUAGUUUUGCAGAAAGUACUGAUGGCACAGCUGUGCUCCAAGUUAACCAGAACACAAGAAUCGAAAAAGCCUGUGAGAUACUGGUGCUCGUGAUCGUAAGCUCCAGGUCAGGGGGUUUUCAGAUGAACACAAAAAGGGGGCUUCUCCCAUCCCAAGAUGAGUGAUAAAUGAGGCACUUCUCAUACUCGCACUCAUACUCACUCCAUUCCCUCUGGGAUGACUCUUCCGUCCUGCAGCUGUGGCUGAUGUUAUUCCCCUGAUAAACUUCUUUCCCUCUCCCUCCCUCUGACACAGAAACACACACACACACACACCACUGGAUCUAUAAGCAGUUUGUAACAGGAUGCACCAGUUCUAAUCACUUUUCAAGUCAAAUGAACCAGUUGCAGCUUCCUAAUAAGUGAACAGCUGACAUAAAGAGUUAAUUCAGAAGCAGCUCAAUACUAUGGACAAUACUAGUGGACAAUAUUAGCAUACUGCUCGUACAACAAAGAUACCAUAGUCUCUUGUGUUGCCUCUUCAAG
rnacentral:lncRNA from 1 species